rnacentral:rRNA from 1 species
GACGAACGCUGGCGGCGUGCUUAACACAUGCAAGUCGAGCGGUAAGGCCCUUUCGGGGGUACGACGAGCGGCGAACGGGUGAGUAACACGUGGGUGACCUGCCCUCAGCUCUGGGAUAAGCCUGGGAAACUGGGUCUAAUACCGGAUAUGACUCCAUGACGCAUGUUGUGGGGUGGAAAGCCUUGUGCGGCUGAGGAUGGGCCCGCGGCCUAUCAGCUUGUUGGUGGGGGAU